rnacentral:rRNA from 1 species
UCUGGUGCUUGCACUAGAAAAACUUAGCGGCGAACGGGUGAGUAACACGUAAAGAACCUGCCUUAUAGACUGGGACAACUAUUGGAAACGAUAGCUAAUACCGGAUAACAGCAUUAACUGCAUGGUUGAUGUUUGAAAGUUGGUUUUGCUAACACUAUGAGAUGGCUUUGCGGUGCAUUAGCUAGUUGGUGGGGUAAAGGCCUACCAAGGCGACGAUGCAUAGCCGACCUGAGAGGGUGAUCGGCCACACUGGGACUGAGACACGGCCCAGACUCCUACGGGAGGCAGCAGUAGGGAAUCUUCCGCAAUGGGCGAAAGCCUGACGGAGCAACGCCGCGUGAGUGAAGAAGGAUUUCGGUUCGUAAAGCUCUGUUGUUAGGGAAGAAUGAUUGUAUAGUAACUAUAUACAGUAGAGACGGUACCUAACCAGAAAGCCACGGCUAACUACGUGCCAGCAGCCGCGGUAGUACGUAGGUGGCAAGCGUUGUCCGGAAUUAUUGGGCGUAAAGCGCGCGCAGGUGGUUUAAUAAGUCUGAUGUGAAAGCCCACGGCUCAACCGUGGAGGGUCAUUGGAAACUGUUAAACUUGAGUGCAGGAGAGAAAAGUGGAAUUCCUAGUGUAGCGGUGAAAUGCGUAGAGAUUAGGAGGAAC